CAGCAUGAUGAUAAAUUGGGCCACUGAAGCAGAUUGAGAAGAAAAAGAUGUUGAAAUGGUCGCCCUGUGGUAUCAAAAG